UUAACUGCAAGUUUGGGUAACAAGUGAAAGGACUCAUACACAGAGGAUUAGCAUGGCCACUCCAAAAGGGUGACACCCUAAUCUGUGAAGUAUUCCAUAAUUUC